UGCCCCUAACUGUCCCUAUUAAUCAUUACUUCGGUUCCAGAAACCAACGGAAAAUAGAACCAAAGUCCUAUUCCAUUAUUCCAUGCUUAUGUAUCCAAGCACAAGCCUGCUUUGAACACUCUAAUUUUUUCAAAGUAAACGUCGCGUAUCCAACGCACACUCAGUUAAGAGCACGCGAAGUCUGCGCGAAGAAGGCCAACGUCGACAGUGACAUACCUUGCGGCUGACCGUCGCCGUCGAGCCCGAAAUCCAACUACGAGCUUUUUAACUGCAACAACUUUACAAUACGCUAUUGGAGCUGGAAUUACCGCGGCUGCUGGCACCAGACUUGCCCUCCAAUUGGUCCUCGUUAAGAGAUUUAAAUUGUACUCAUUCCAAUUACAAGACUACAAAAAAGCCCUGUAUUGUUAUUUUUUGUCACUACCUCCCCACGUCAGGAUUGGGUAAUUUGCGCGCCUGCUGCCUUCCUUGGAUGUGGUAGCCGUUUCUCAGGCUCCCUCUCCGGAAUCGAACCCUAAUUCUCCGUCACCCGUUGCAACCAUGGUAAGCCACUACCUUACCAUCGACAGUUGAUAGGGCAGAAAUUUGAAUGAAACAUCGCCGGCACGAACAGAGAAGGCCAUGCGAUUCGAACAGUUACUAUGAAUCACCAAGUGGGUAAGCGGCCGUUAAGCCGCAUUGGGUUUUAAUCUAAUAAAUACAUCCCUUCCACGAGAGUCGGGACUUUUCGCAUGUAUUAGCUCUAGAAUUACUACGGUUAUCCAAGUAGUAAGAGAGUACAAUCAAAUAAACGAUAACUGAUUUAAUGAGCCAUUCGCAGUUUCACAGUACAAGUGCUUAUACUUAGACAUGCAUGGCUUAAUCUUUGAGACAAGCAUAUGAUACUGGCAGGAUCAACCAGUUAACUAUACGUCGUUCGCACCAAGCGUAUCGUGCAAAGAACACGACACGCUCGUUCGUUCGAUCGUACAAGUGUAACUAUAAUUUUUCUUUCUUCUUUUUUUUUUUGCCACGUCUUCCAUCGUGCUCUUUGCGCACGGCACAAGCGGCCCCGUUCUGGAAACACGGCCGACUGUGUCGCACGCACGUAGAUAGCCGAGUAGCACUAAGCACCCCCGACUAUACCAUUCGUCACAAUCUCGCUUAGGACAUUGUCCAAGGGACAUGACACACAACAUUCGAUGAAGGCGAGAUUUCUUUUCUUUAAAAAAAAGAACCUCAAAAAAAAACAACAACGUAUUCGCCGAAUGGCGGCGAAGGAAGCGUCGACCGUUCUUUCUCGUUCGUGAAAACAAGCUGAGCAAACGCGUCCCCUGCCACGUCGAGCGAAAGGCGUUACUAACUCGCACUCGAUUUCAUGAAGCCAUUG
rnacentral:lncRNA from 1 species